GCCGGGUGUGGUGGCACGUGCCUGUAGUCCCAGCUACUCUGGAGGCUGAGGCUGGAGGAUCGCUUGAGCCCAGGAGUUCUGGGCUGUAGUGCACUAUGCCGAUCGGGUGUCCGCACUAAGUUCAGCCUCAAUAUGGUGACCUCCUGGGAGCGGGGGACCAACAGGUUGCCUAAGGAGGGGUGAACCGGUCCAGGUCAGAAAUGGAGCAGGUUAAAACUCCUGUGCUGAUGAGUACUGGGAUCGCGCCUAUGAAUAGCCACUGCACUCCAGCCUGGGCAACACAGCGAGACCCCAUCUCU
rnacentral:SRP_RNA from 1 species